UUUACUUUGCUUCUCAGGCAUUGUGAAUUUAUGUCCAUCCGGGUGCAAUGUGGCCCUUUAUAAUAAAAAACAUGGGUCAGGGCACCUGCCCACUCUGAGGCAGGGAGCGUGUCUUUACAGUUGCCACAAACUUUGUCUCUUAUACUCUUCCCCUUUUGUCCCUUCAGCUUGUCGCAUCUUCCUCAAGUUUCAUUCUGUUCCAUACUUUCAGGCAAACUUUUUUUAGACAUUCUUGACAAAACUGGAAGAGUUUUCUGCUUGCUUACUUGCCCAUCAUAACUUCAUUUCCACACCCUAAAUCAUCUUGAUCCAUUCUCUUUAGCUUCUAGACUAUAAACACUCUUCCACAGAGCUCCAAUCAAUGAACAAGAGAGGCACUUAGAGUGAUGGUGAUCAAAUUAUAAUUUGCUAGCCCUCCUCCACUCACAUAGACACUUUGGGGUACCGCAGCUGCGCAUUGCAGAAUUCCUUUCCUUUUCCUGAUCAUUCUGCAAUAGUAUUGCUAGAUAAACACAAUGGCAGCAAUCUAAUAAUCAUUCACAUCCAGAGAAUAACCUCUUAUCUACCAAAGCAUUAACUUCAGCUUCUGGGUCUUUCAAAUUGGAGCACUCAGUAGAAGCUCAUUCCAGUUUAACUGGGACUUCUUCAAACAGAACAAAUGCCUCGGCUUUCCUGUCCUAUAUAGCACUUACAAGUGAUUUGAUUUUUAUUCAACUAUUUCUCAAGCAUGUGUUUAUGUAAAGCAUAAUGACCCUUAAUAAAGUUGUUCUUUUGCCCCUAAUAAUCUUGGCUGCAGACUGUCUGCGGACACUUCACAUCUGAAUAAGUUCAUCUGCAUAAAUGGGCAUGAGCUUCAGUCAAGAUCCAUAGACUCUUGUAUAUCUGGUUUGUUUGUAAAUAUGUAUUUUUAAAAACAAAAAAGUUUAUUUAAAGAUAUUUUGAGCUGAAGAGUUUCAAAAGAUAGAAAAAUGGGAGCACAAAUGCAUGAGAAUCCAAGCCAGACUUAUGAGAUAUUUGAAGGGCUCUCAGCCUCCUUGAGCCUAGGGAGUGAAUCCAUGAACAGGCAUUUUUCCCUUUCCCAAAAUGUAUUGAGAUUGGAAAAAAAAAAUACUUCCCUCUGAAAGACAGCUUUCCUCUACCAAAAUUGCUCUUAAAACCUCUGUGGUUUCCACCCUGAGUUUGCAAGUUGUCUUUUUUUUUUUCUGCAUGACUUGAGAAUCCCCAUGAUACUAGCUGUGAGGUUGCCUGGCAGCAUGGACUAUACUACCGUGCAGUAGUGGUGGUCAUUGAGUGACAUCUACUAGUUUUCUCAUCUUUGUUUUAAGAGUUCUGCAUUCUUGCUUGUUGACUCUGAGCUAGACUCUAUGGUACAGCAGUGGCAAGCCAUCCAGUGUUGGGUGGUUACAGUUCCCACAAUAGCUUGCCAUUGCUUAUGCUAUCGGGGCUGAUGGGUAGUGAAAUCCAAAGCAUCAGGAGGUGCUGACUGGAGGUUUUUCAAGGCUGCACUUCAACCUGCUUUGGGAUUUGUUAGGAAAUUAUCUUUUGGAAAGGGACAGUGAGAGAGGGUAGUGGGACUUAAACCUUAGAAGCAACAAAUACUCAGAAAUAAUAUAGAUCUCAAAGCAACCAUUUGUAUGUCUUUCUUUCCCACCAUGAUAGUUUCAUGUUUUAUCCUUUAAUGGCGUUGGGUACACCACUCUGCCUAGUUAUUAGCUGGCCAUAGAGGUUUUUUGCACACUUACAGCGAUGUGUGUGGGAAAGGUGAGAACUUUUUGGAAGGAAAAGAGAUUGGUACAGUGUGGAAUUCUUCUGCGUGAGGGUAAUACAGGUAGUCCUCAACUUACAACAGUUCGUUUAAUGAUCUAGGUUACAGCAGCACUGAAAAAAGUGAUUUAUGACUGUUUUUCACACUUAACGACCAUUGCAGCAUUCCCCAUGAUCAUGUGAUCAAAAGUCAGAACUUGGCAACUGACUCGUAUUUAUAUGACGGUUGCAGUGUCCUGGAGGGAUCAUGUGGAUUAUUUUUUCCCAACCUUCUGACAAGCAAAAUCAGUGGGGAAGCCAGAUGUCAGGCCCCAAAACGGCCAGCCUUGAGCGAGCCAGAUUAAAACUUAACAACUUUAUCGCUAACUUAAAAACUCCAGUGAUUCGCUUAACAACUGCGGCAAGAAGGGUCAUAAAGUGAGGCAAAAUUCACUUAACAGAUGUCUCAAUUAGCAACAGAAAUUUGGGGCUCAAUUGUGGUCAUAAGUCGAGGACUACCUGUACUGAAGAGAGGCAGCAGCAUAUGGGAAAAGAGAAAAAAGUUGAAAAGUCCUUGUUUUUCUUUUUUUUUAAAAAAGCAAAUAAUAAAAGAUCCACUUAUGUGACAGAGGUAGACACCCCUGUAAGGUGCCGCCAUGCUCUGAGAGGGGACAUGGCAGGGCCCUGGAAGUGGGAAGUAAAAUGUCACUUGGUCUUGGGGGCAAGAUCGUCCUGCUGAAGGCAUCCAUUUCUGGCAUGCUGGUGCUCCAUUUUUCCAACAGGAAAACUAUCCCACUCACCCAUCUUCCCCAUUUUGUCAGGCAGUUGGAACCUGGAGACAACGAUGAGAGGCGGAGGAAAGAAGCUUUUUUAAGAAAGAAAGAUUUUAUUGUGAUUUUUUUUUUAAUUUCUCUCUGACUAGUCUAUGCAUUUCCAAUUUUAAAAGCCGUUUUCUGCUGAUCUUCCCCCCCCCCCCUCAGCCCCCGUCUCCCCCCAAAAUCAGGCACUGUGUAAUCUUAUUCUGAACAAACCUCUGAGGAAUGUCAUAUCUGCAAAUUUGGAACUUUAAUUCCAAAGUAAAUGGCAGUCUUGCUUAUGUUUUUUUCCACACAGAUACAUAGACACACAAUCCAGUUGGAAGGUCUUGCAUAUUCCAAUCCUAUUGAAUUGGGGGAGGGCGGUGCCUAAUAUUUUGCCAUUUAGUUAUGCUCUGAAGAAUUUGUUUUUAUUUUAUUUUAUUUUAUUUUUUUAUUAUUUUUCUUGCAUUUGUGCAAUAACUACUUGCCAUUUUACUGGGCUGAUCUUUGGACUUGCCCUGACUACUAACACAGCACAAAAAUGAACUCGAAACACAAAAAAAGGUGUAUUUUUUUUCCUGAGAAUAUUUUCUUUUAAAAAAAAAAUAUUGAUAAGCUCCAUUUUAUCCCCGUGUACUUGUGGUGUCCAACAUUUUUAGCAGUAUUUUAUAAAUAUAUAUAUAAAUAUAUAAAUAGAUAUAUAUAUUAUUUUUUUCCUGUAACGCACUAAGUCUUAGGUGUUUUUAGAAGCUCGUUUCUUAUAUUCAGAAUCACCAAUUUUAAUGAAAUACCCUCACAAAGACCCAGUUGACCAAAAAAAGCCUUUUUUCUUUCUUUCUUUUCUUUUCUUUCUUUUCUUUUUUUGUACACGUAGCUUUGAGAGAAGCUGCCCUGUUGUGUUGCUGUGAUUUCAUCUUUUGUAACAUUUUAUUUCUUGUUCAAAAGUUUAUUAAAAAAAAGAGAGAGAGAGAAAAGUUUUAUAUGGCUGGCAGUGACAGAGCAAAAGAUUUCUUCCCUUGGUGGGAAGUGGUAUUUUCUUCCCAACCUGGGUUAGCCAAUGUAUGUUCUCAGCACUGUACAACAGUCCCUAUAUGAUAUGGAGAAGCAAUAUCACUGUACGAAACUCACAUGAUGUAUUAUUAUAAUUAUUAUUAUUAUUAUUCACUAGCACCCUAGGUGUGAUAAUUGAAGUAAAUAUCUUUUAUACAAACACA